ACGCACGCUGGCGGCGUGCUUAACACAUGCAAGUCGAACGGAAAGGCCCUGCUUUUGUGGGGUGCUCGAGUGGCGAACGGGUGAGUAACACGUGAGUAACCUGCCCUUGACUUUGGGAUAACUUCAGGAAACUGGGGCUAAUACCGGAUAGGAGCUCCUGCUGCAUGGUGGGGGUUGGAAAGUUUCGGCGGUUGGGGAUGGACUCGCGGCUUAUCAGCUUGUUGGUGGGGUAGUGGCUUACCAAGGCUUUGACGGGUAGCCGGCCUGAGAGGGUGACCGGCCACAUUGGGACUGAGAUACGGCCCAGACUCCUACGGGAGGCAGCAGUGGGGAAUAUUGCACAAUGGGCGGAAGCCUGAUGCAGCAACUCCGCGUGCGGGAUGACGGCCUUCGGGUUGUAAACCGCUUUCGCCUGUGACGAAGCGUGAGUGACGGUAAUGGGUAAAGAAGCACCGGCUAACUACGUG
rnacentral:rRNA from 1 species